UACGUAGGGGGCAAGCGUUGUCCGGAUUUAUUGGGCGUAAAGAGCGUGUAGGCGGCUUUACAGGUCCGUUGUGAAAACUCGAGGCUCAACCUCGAGACGCCGGUGGAAACCGUAAAGCUAGAGUCCGGAAGAGGAGAGUGGAAUUCCUGGUGUAGCGGUGAAAUGCGCAGAUAUCAGGAGGAACACCGGUGGCGAAGGCAGCUUGCUGGGACGGUACUGACGCUGAGGCGCGAAAGCGUGGGGAGCAAACAGG
rnacentral:rRNA from 1 species